rnacentral:rRNA from 1 species
GCAAGUCGAACGCUUUGUGGUUCAACUGAUUUGAAGAGCUUGCUCAGAUAUGACGAUGGACAUUGCAAAGAGUGGCGAACGGGUGAGUAACACGUGGGAAACCUACCUCUUAGCAGGGGAUAACAUUUGGAAACAGAUGCUAAUACCGUAUAACAAUGACAACCGCAUGGUUGUUAUUUAAAAGAUGGUUCUGCUAUCACUAAGAGAUGGUCCCGCGGUGCAUUAGCUAGUUGGUAAGGUAAUGGCUUACCAAGGCGAUGAUGCAUAGCCGAGUUGAGAGACUGAUCGGCCACAAUGGGACUGAGACACGGCCCAUACUCCUACGGGAGGCAGCAGUAGGGAAUCUUCCACAAUGGGCGAAAGCCUGAUGGAGCAACGCCGCGUGUGUGAUGAAGGGUUUCGGCUCGUAAAACACUGUUGUAAGAGAAGAAUGACAUUGAGAGUAACUGUUCAAUGUGUGACGGUAUCUUACCAGAAAGGAACGGCUAAAUACGUGCCAGCAGCCGCGGUAAUACGUAUGUUCCAAGCGUUAUCCGGAUUUAUUGGGCGUAAAGCGAGCGCAGACGGUUAUUUAAGUCUGAAGUGAAAGCCCUCAGCUCAACUGAGGAAUUGCUUUGGAAACUGGAUGACUUGAGUGCAGUAGAGGAAAGUGGAACUCCAUGUGUAGCGGUGAAAUGCGUAGAUAUAUGGAAGAACACCAGUGGCGAAGGCGGCUUUCUGGACUGUAACUGACGUUGAGGCUCGAAAGUGUGGGUAGCAAACAGGAUUAGAUACCCUGGUAGUCCACACCGUAAACGAUGAGUGCUAGGUGUUUGAGGGUUUCCGCCCUUAAGUGCCGCAGCUAACGCAUUAAGCACUCCGCCUGGGGAGUACGACCGCAAGGUUGAAACUCAAAGGAAUUGACGGGGACCCGCACAAGCGGUGGAGCAUGUGGUUUAAUUCGAAGCAACGCGAAGAACCUUACCAGGUCUUGACAUCCCUUGACAACUCCAGAGAUGGAGCGUUCCCUUCGGGGACAAGGUGACAGGUGGUGCAUGGUUGUCGUCAGCUCGUGUCGUGAGAUGUUGGGUUAAGUCCCGCAACGAGCGCAACCCUUAUUACUAGUUGCCAGCAUUCAGUUGGGCACUCUAGUGAGACUGCCGGUGACAAACCGGAGGAAGGUGGGGAUGACGUCAAAUCAUCAUGCCCCUUAUGACCUGGGCUACACACGUGCUACAAUGGCGUAUACAACGAGUUGCCAACCCGCGAGGGUGAGCUAAUCUCUUAAAGUACGUCUCAGUUCGGAUUGUAGGCUGCAACUCGCCUACAUGAAGUCGGAAUCGCUAGUAAUCGCGGAUCAGCACGCCGCGGUGAAUACGUUCCCGGGUCUUGUACACACCGCCCGUCACACCAUGAGAGUUUGUAACACCCAAAGCCGGUGGGGUAACCUUCGGGAGCCAGCCGUCUAAGGUGGGACAGAUGAUUAGGGUGAAGUCGUAACAAGGUAACCGUAA